CAAACCGGUGCCCUCCCGGAUCAUCGUAGCCUUCACUUCCAUUGUUCCUUCGCACGAACGUUCCGCAUGACCUUGAUCCUCGACCUCAGCUUCUCCCAAGCUUCGUCUCUUGAUCCCGUCAUCGACCACGUUCUUCUAGCUCCGGCAACACCUGAAAGCGAACACACAAAUAACUAGUACGAGCACAAGUCCACGACUUGACUCAGGGUAAGUUUCACACAACUCACGCCAUGUUUUCACAUAAGAAACUAAUGGAUCAACACACCACUAGCAAAGCACUAAGUCCAAACAAGAUACAUGUCAUCACUUAAAUAUCCAUAUUAUCCAAAGUAUCCACAUCAAUGUUUCAUCUAAAACACUUGCCGAUGUUACACAUCACAGAUGAUUUCACAAUCUCCCCCUUGAUGAAAACAUUGGCAACCUCUCGUUAACAACACUAGACAUUGAACAUUGAUUGGCAUACACAUUCACUUAACUCUCAGAUUUUCAAGGUUACAUCAAAAAGUUGGAGAAACACCAAUAAAAGAACACCAAUAAAAGGUAAAAUAUGGUAUGUAUAUGUGUUGAAAUCUCUCCCCUUUGACAAUGAAUUUCAUCAAAACCACACAAAAAUAUUUCCCCCGCUUCAAUUUUUUUUUAAAACUAAAAGCGAUUUUUUUUUUUGUAAUGAGCAUUAUGAAACAUCAUGAACAUGGUAAUUGUGCAUCCAAGUCAUGUAAAAAGUAGUUGUACUCGACAUGUAUAUAAGUAUGAUGUAAUCUACACAUGACUAACAAUCAAGUAUUAUUACGAUUUAUUGGAAGACAUGGUCUCCCCUUGUCAACUACAUCAAUAUUUGAAUACAAAAUAGCUUGCAACACGUUACAUUAAACAUAGCACUUUAUAAAAGCAUAAUAUUUAUUUUCAUUGAAUUUAUAUGCCAAGUCAAUUCAACCUUGUCAAGCCUAUAUUUAAAACACCAUGCCAAGCCUAUGUCCAAAGUGCAAUGAUUAACAAUCAGAAGCUUAAGGCAAAUGGUAAGCAAUCAGAAGCUUAAGACACAGGUUUCAAUAAACACAGCAACUUCCAAGUUCAUAUCAAAGUGCAAUGGUAAGCAGUCUCGUGAAGAUGUAGUGCGACAUUGGCAUAUUUUGACACCACGUGUCUUUGUAUAUUUGGAACCUUGAUACCAUUAUAUUUUCAUCAUUGCUAGUAAUUAAGUAUCCAAGACCAAAAUAGCUAACAAAGUUUAACCAUGACAAGAUUUAGUUGAAGUUAUCAUUCGUAUUAGAAAUCAUGUGAUGGACUAUUUCAUACGAGGAUACAUAUAAAAUGACAAUGUCCUAAAAACAUAAACGUGGUUGCAAAAAUGUCAUUUCAGGAUGGAAUACAAUGCUCAUUACUUUUUUAGAUUUUUUAUUUAUUAAAGAUAAAGAAACGAAAAAAAAGCAAGUAUCGUACACGAAGAGCAAACUCCCCCUCAAACCAUCCCGUAUGGUUUGAUUACUCCAAGUUCACCUCGAAGAAAAGCAAACCGAGAAGAAUCCAAUGGUUUAGUAAAAAUGUCUGCCAAUUGACGUUCGGUAUCUAUAAAGUUGAGCACAACAUUUUCUUUUUCAACAUGAUCUCUAAGAAAAUGAUAUCUUAUAUCUAUGUGCUUAGUUCUAGAAUGUUACACUUUCUAAAAUAACCCCAUAAUCUUUCAUUGUAGCUAUUAUCCAUAAAAUCUGUGAGUAACAGCAAGCAGCAGCUACAUAUUCACUUUCAGCAGUAGACUGUGCAACAGAACUUUGUUUCUUAGAAGACCAAAGUACUAAAGAAUCACCCAAAAAUAAGCAUGUACCAGAUGUACUCUUUCUAUCAAUUCUACAACCUCCAAAAUCAGCAUCCAAAAAUGCACGCAAUAUGAUACUAGAGGAAGCAGAAAGCCAAAUGCCAAAAGAUUGGGUGCCAUGUAGAUACCUGAAAAUCCUCUUGACAGCUUGUAAAUGUGAUGUACGUGGGAAAGCUUGAAACCGUGCACACAAGCAUACAGAAAAUUGUAUAUCCGGUCUAGAGGCAGCAAGAUAAAGAAGUGAACCAAUCAUACUCCUGUACAUCUUUUGGUCAACAGGUUCACCAUCCUCAUCAAGAUCAAGCGACGUCGUAGAUCCCAUUGGUGUCAUAAUAGGCUUGCAGUUUUCCAUCCCAAAACGUCGUAGCAGAUCCUUCGUAUACUUACUUUGAUGUACAAAGGUGCCCUCCUUUGUUUGCUUGAUUUGCAGCCCCAAAAAGUAAGUAAGUUCGCCCAUCAUGCUCAUUUCAAAUUCCCUGCUCAUAGUUUCUGAAAAUUCUGACACCAAGGCAUGAGAGGCACACCCAAAGAUAAUAUCAUCAACAUAAACUUGUACGAAGAGUUGAUCAUUGCCAUGCUUGAGUACAAAUAAGGUUUUAUCAACAUUUCCCAUGGUAAAACCCUUUUCAAGUAAUUUUUUUUUUAACCUAUGAUACCAUGCACGUGGGGCUUGUUUUAAACCAUACAAAGCCUUUGAGAGUUUAUAAACAUGGUUUGGGAAAUUUGGAUUCUCAAAACCCGGUGGUUGCUUAACAUAAACCUCCUCAUCAAUGAAGCCAUUGAGAAAAGCACUUUUAACAUCCAUUUGAUAAAGCUUGAAACUUUUAGAUGCAGCAAAUGCCAAUAAAAUUCUUAUAGCUUCUAAUCUAGCAACAGGGGCAAAAGUUUCAUCAAAAUCAAGACUCUCAAUUUAAGUAAAACCUUGAGCAACCAACCUAGCCUUGUUGCGAACAAUAACAGCAUCCUCACUUUGUUUGUUUUUAAAAACCCAACGUGUACCAAUAAGGGUAUGACCUGGAGGUGGUGAAACAAGAGUCCAAACUUGGUUACGCUCAAAAAUUUCUAAUUCCUCAUGCAUGGCAUUGAUACACGAUUCAUCAGUAAAUGCAUGAGAUAUAUCUUUGGGCUCAAAAGAAGCAACAAAUGCAGAAUGAUUGUGAGAGUUAGAAUCGAUAAACCUUGACCGUGUGACUCUCUCAGUCAUGCUUCCAAUAAUCUGUUCAGGAGGGUGCCUCUUUUGAAUGUGUCGGGGUGCUAAAAUAUUUGACUCAACAGCUUGCUCAACCCCAGCUUGAGUAGUCGAGGUAGUCUCCUGAGGGUGAUCAAUUGUAGCAGCAGCAGUAGUAGGUGUAGGAACAGCUACAGAUGGUGCAUGGAUAGCAGGGGGCACGCCAUCCUCCUCAUCAUCUUCAUCAGACUCGAUAUCCACAUCACUCAAGCAUGGUUCACCAUAUUCAUUGAUUACAGAGAAAAUACUGUGAGCCACCGCUCGAGCAAAGUCGCCCCUCUUUUUAUUCUUGAUGUUGAAGGGGCGCUUCUUCUUCUUGUCCUCCCCAUUUUCUUCUUUCGCCAUCUUGGAUAAGAAUUUAGGACAAUUUUGGCGAAAGUGAUUUGGAUCACCACAUUCAAAGCACCUUGGAGCAUUGUUCCCACCUCUCUUCCUUGAACGAACAUUUUGCAGGGCACGUGUAAAACGAGAGGUGAGGAGUGCCAAUUCUUCCUCUAGGUAUUGCUCUAGCUGUUCAUCAGUUAGUUGAGACAAAGAAGACAGAGCAUAACAAUAUGUAGAAGUACCAUCAUUAGAUUUGCCAGGGUUAGUAACAAGUGCAAUUGAUUUGGAACCGGUUCUCCUAGCAAGAAUAUCUAAUUCAUGAGUUUUCAAUUUUGAGUACAGAAUAUCAAGUGUAAGUGUGCUCAUGACAGUAGAUUAUCUAAUAGAUGACAUAUCUAAUGCACUCAAAAGUUGCCUAGAAGCCUCAGCAUCAGUAUAAGUAACACCUAAUGCACGUAAGUUGCUGAGAAUUUUAUUAAAGCGUGCAAAGAAUUCAUCCAAAGAUUCACCUGUAUUCAUCUCAAAUCUCAUGUACUCCUUUUUGUACAUGUCUUGACGCACCUCCUUAACAGAGUUUGAUCCUUCAUGAUAACUACAAAGUGCGUUCCAUACCUCAUGAGCGGAUGCAAGGUGAGCGACACCGUCGAAGUCACUUCGUUGUAGACCUUGGAUGAUGUAGUUCCUCGCCUUGUAGUUGUUCUCCACGUGGACCAAGUUUGUUGGUGUGAUCACAUUUUCCGCGGGAAGCUCAUAGGACUUGGCGAUUUUCUCCCAUAUGACGUAACUUUGUGCCAUGAUGUAUGCCUUCAUCUUCGCCUUCCAAAACUGAAAAUCAACACCAUCAAACACACAGGGUUUGGUAGAAUACCUAUCCAUAUCUAGUAAGUCUAAUCAAACGGUUAAGAUAGAUUAGAGAGACCUUGCUCUGAUACCAAUUGUGAGAUCGAGAUAGGCAAUCAGAGGGGGGGGGGGUGAAUGAUUGCGCGGAAGCAAAUUAAAACUUUUCCCGAAAGUUCAAACCCUAAAUCACGUUUCUGUACGUGAUAGUAAAACAGCCGUAACUUUUGAUUGGUUGAACCAAAAAAUACGUAUGAGUAUGCAAAAGAAAUUUAUUAAAAUUAUCUAACCAACGCAACAAGAAUCAGCUCAAUCGGACUUACCAAUCAAAAGAUAUGAUCAAAAUAGUAACAGCUGACAGAAAGUUACGAGGAUUAAUCUAAAACCAAUUUCGAGGAAUAACAAGAAAGAUGAAUUAAUCGCAAUCUUCUCUUGAUCUCGUGAUAAACCUGCAAUAAAGUAUUAUGAACUUGUGAUGAACCUACACCAAACUAUUAGAAAGAUCUAGCACGAAGAUUUCAGGAAGAUCCGAGAAGAACAGAGAUGACACCGCCAACGAAUCUCUUUAUUGCAACGAUGUCGAUCGAUUACAAAAGAUGCAACCAUGCAUCCAAAAGCUCUCCAAGAAUUGAUCUAUAUCCAAAGCUUUGAGUUCCCUCACGUCCUUGCUAAAACCCUAUCUAGGAUGCCCUCUAUUUAUAAGGGAAAAUUCGCAACCCUAAACCGAAUCCGAAUCCAACACGGACUCCUCUGUCCCGGUCAGUAUUUUUCCCGUGGGGACCGCAUACGACCUCAGAUUGAGAUGACUCCAAAAGCAAAGUUGUUCGUCUCGACGACGCGCACAACUUUCAUGUGGAUCACUUUUCCAUCUGACGCCAUCUUGAUGACGCUACUGUUUAAUCUUUAAACAGCUCUCAUCCAGCCACGGCUGGACCUACAUAUCUUCACCUCGAUGUCACUUCAUGCCAUCAACUCUUCUUGUGAUGUCUUCAAAACUCGACCAUCACGUAUCGAAUAUCUCCAAUACCAUACAUCUCUGGUAUAAACAACAUACGACAAACCGGUGCCCUCCCGGAUCAUCGUAGCCUUCACUUCCAUUGUUCCUUCGCACGAACGUCCCGCAUGACCUUGAUCCUCGACCUCAGCUUCUCCCAAGUUUCGUCUCUUGAUCCCGUCAUCGACCACGUUCUUCUAGCUCCGGCAACACCUGAAAGCGAACACACAAAUAACCAGUACGAGCACAAGUCCACGACUUGACUCAGGGUAAGUUUCACACAACUCACGCCAUGUUUUCACAUAAGAAACUAAUG
rnacentral:lncRNA from 1 species